GAGCUGAUGAAGUGAUGAGUUCUCAUGUCUCUUCUCUGACUUGCACUUGGAGAGAAUAAUUAUUUUCUCUGAUCACAGCUU